UAUAUCAUCAACUAUGAUGUUUUAUAAUGUUAAGGUAUAUCCUGUGAUGGUUGAAGUAUGUCAUGUACUACUUGCCUUUGAUUUUAUAGGGGAUUAUACUCAAGAUAUUCCAUGAUUCUCAGAAGAGACUUGGGACUUUCAAACAUUGUUGUGGUGUGUUAGACUAUCGGGACUUUUGGAGUUGGAGUUAAUAUAUUUUGUAUAGUGUAAUGCUAGAGCUUGUCAUAAUCCCAUUGCCUCAUGUGUUUAAACAAGACUAUGAAUGCCAUAGACUGGAAUGUGAUUGGUGAGAUAUGUUUAGCCUAUGAGAAGUAGUUUGCAAUAAUCAGGCAUGUGGCCUUGUUGGGGAAGGUAUAGCUUUCCUACAGGAAGUGUGUCAGAUUGUGUCACAAUGGAGGCAGUGCUUUGAAAUGUCAGGAAAUUGUCAAUUCUGGGCAGAGUGAUCCAGACCAUACUCCCGGCUGGCUGUAAAAGAGAGUCUCCUAACUGGAUAAAGCUGUAGAACCCUUGGCUCCUCCAGCACCAUGGCUUCCUAUAUGCUGUCAGGCUUCCUGACAUGAUCGUAAUAUUAGGAAUUUACUAGCAGGGCUGAUGGUAUUGCUAUGGUAGGUCUGACCAUAGUUUUGUUUGAAGGAAUAAUUAUUUUAGGAUUUUGUAAUGGAGGGGAGGCUUUAAAUGGGGCUUAUCGGUCCAUAGGAUUAGAAGCAUGGAAGACAGUGUUGCUGAGAGUGAUUUCAACUGUGGGGGCCUGUCUCUAAGAAACUUCAAAGGAGAAGACUCAUAAACCUGAAUCUCCAAAGUGUCCCCAGAUAAUAUUAUGAUGACAAUCAUCCAUGAGCCAUCAAUGUCCAUAUUGAAACCUACAAUCAUUGUUGCUUCUGAAGAGAUUUCUAACGUCAAGGAUCCCUGAAGCCAGCAGAAUGUACGCUGAAGUUCACAGUCAAUACUGCAACCUCAGGUCAUGUUGAGAGUUCCACAUAUAGUGAGUUGAGGUCACAUAUAUACUGGCAACAGACAACAGUGCAUGUAUGUGAUACUUCAGGCCUCAGCAGCCAUGAUAUCAUUGAUCUCCACUGCCUCACGAGAGCACAUUAAUAUGAGUGUCUCCAACUGCCAGUAAAAUCAUUACAGAUAUCAGUUAUCCAUGAUCCUGUCCAACUUGUGAGAAGGGUUCUGCCAGCUGUAACCAUUUUUAUGUCAUGUUGUAUCCUGUCACUAAACAAGAGGUUUCUGUUCAUGGCCAUACCUGCUAUCUGAAACUAUCUUAAUGUCCCUGAUAUUCAUGGCAACUGACACCAUGGUGUAUCUCUGAUCCUUCCUGCAACUUUGGAUCAGUUGAUAACAUGAGAAAUACCGGCAUCCAAAGAAAAUACAUUGAUAUUACUCAUAUACAAUGCCACUGGUAACAAUACUGAGAUCCAUAGUCAGUGUUGUGCUGGAAAAGAUCCCUGAUGUCUUAGAUCCCAAUGCCAGAAGAGUCUAUUAUAAAGAUCAUUGUCAGUAGUGCUGCCUACUGUCAUAAUGAGGUAAGUACUGUGUUUUGUUAAUGAAGACACCAUUGAUGCCAGUGAUCCUACCUGCAACCUGAAGUUAUGUUAAGGUCACUGCUGUUUGAAGUGAUCAGCAAUCAAGAUGGAGUCCAUUGUUAAUAUCACUGAAGGUGAUCUUGGCGAUGGCUAUGAUCUACAUUGUUUCUGGAGAACCUGAUGAAUGCCAAGGUCCAUACUGAUGCAGAACGUCAUUUUGAGGUAAUUGUUUUGAGCUGGCACUGGAGAUCUGAUUGAUAGCUGAGAUUCGACCCAUCACAGUAAAUUCAGUUGAAGUUUCUGAUGCAUGCAUGUAUCCUCCGAUGUUGAUCAUGCAAAGUAUUUUGAUGCCAGCAAUCCUACCUGUAUCAUGAAGCUCUGUUGAUGUCAGUGAUGUAUUCUGUGUCCAGAAAUAAUGAAGGAGUACAUUUUUCAUAUUGGUGAUGGAGUCUCUGAUGAUGGCUAAGAUAUGUGUUGCUGUUCGAGCACCUGAUAAAUUCCAAGGUCCUUAUUGAUUCCUGAAUUCAUAUUGAGGAAAUUCUGUUGAUGUUCCUGAUGCAUGCAUAUAGGUCCAGAUGCUAUAUGUGCAAUAUAUGAUGAUGCCUAUGAUAAUAUCUGAAACAUAAACCUAUGUAGAUGUAAAUGCUGCAUGAUAUGAGCUGCAAUCAUGAUGGAGUCCCUUAUUCCUAUCGUUGAUGGCAUAUCAUAGUUAAGGCUAUGAUCUGUGUUGCUGUUUGAGAAUCUGGUGAAUUUGACAGUCAAUACUGAAGCCCAAGGUCAUAUUGAGGAGAAAUGUUUUACCAGUCUAACCGUUUUGAUGUCAUGAUGCAGCCUACCACUACAGAAGAGGUUUCUGUACAAGGUCCUACUGAUCAUCUGAAUAUGCAGAGUACUGGAUAUGCAUAAUACUUCCUGGCAAAAGUCAAGAUGGCAUAUUCCAGAUCAAUGCUGCCAUAAGCAGCAAGGUUAUGACUAAUACUUGCUGUCACUUUGGACCUGAUCGAUGACAUCAAUGAUCCCAACUGUCAAAGGAAGUAUAUUGAUGUCACUCAUCCAUGAUGCUACUGGUGAUCAUGUUGAAAUCCAAAGUCAGUGUUUUCAUGGAAGUAUUCCCCGAUGUGUGAGAUCUCUGAGACAGCAGAGUCUUUCGUGAAGUUCAUGAUCAGUAGUGAUGCCCAAGGUCAUAAUGAGGUAAGUGUUGUGUGCUGCUACAGGAGAUGCAUUGGAUGCCUGUGACUACCUGAAACAUGAAGUUAUUCUGAUGCCAGUGCUCCAGCUGUGACCAGCAAUCAUUAUGGAGUCCAUUAUUCCUAUUACUGAUUGAGACCCUGGUGAUUGCUAUGAUCUCAUUUGCUUCUGGAAAACUACCUGAAUGCCAAUGUCCAUACAGACAACUGAUGUCAUAUUGAGUGUUCUGAGAUGACACUGGAGAACAGAUUGAUGGCUGAGAUCCUAAGUGUCACAGGGAAUUCUGUUGAUGUUCCUGACAAAAACAUGUAGUCUGUGAUGUCUAUCAUGGAAUGUAUCUUGAUGCCUGUGAUCCUACCUUUAACAAGAAGCUAUGUUGAUAUCAGUGAUACAUUCUGUGACCAGCAAUCAUGAAGGAGUCCAUUAUUCCUAUUGGUGAUGGAGAUCCUGGAAUGGCUAUGAUCUACAUUUCUGCUUGAGAACCUGAUAAAUUCCAAGGUUCUUAUUGAUGCCUUCUAGCAUACUGAGGUAAGUGUUCUUAGUUGGCCCUGGAUAUCAUAUUGAUGUCUGAGAUCCUACCUCCCACAGGAAAUUCAGAAGAUGUCAUGGGUGCAUGCAUGUAGCUCCUGCUGUUAAUCAUCAUUACCACCCCAAGAAGUGGAAGUGAUGCCUAAUAUCUAUCCUGCCACUGGAGAAGAGGUUUAUAAUCAUAAUUUCAUCUGCUGUUCGAAUUGUUGCUGAUGUCACUGAAAUAUACCUGGCAAGAGACACCACAGUAUUGCCCAUCAUCCAUACUGCUUUUGACAAAGUUGUCAGUGAUCUCUGAUUCCACUGGGAACCAUGCUAAUAUCACUAAUCCAAAGUGCCUACAGCAACUUGGAUGGUGUGAAUCAUCCAUCCUGUACCAGGAGCUAUGUUGAAACCCAUAGAAUAUAUUGCUUCUGAAGACAUGAUUAUUGUUAAUGGUACCUGAAUCCAUCAAAGUAAGGUGAAGUUCAAGUUCAAUAGUGCUGCCAAUGGUAAUGUUUAGUUAUAUUUUCUGACAUAUGUUAUGUUGAGAGCAUAUAAAUUGUGGUGAUGUACACUGGUGUAUGUCCAUAAUACCUCAGGCCUCCAACAGCCAUGCAAGUAAUACCUGCUGCCAUUAGGGAUAGGAGUUUAUCCAACUGCCAAUGGAAUUAUUACUGAUAUCUGUUUUCCAUUCUUCUGCUCAAUUUAUGAGAAUAUUCUUGCCCUCUAUAACAAUUUUGAUGUCAUGAUGCAUCCUGCCACUAGAGAAGAGGUUUAUGUUCAUGACCAUACUUCUCCUCUGAAACUAUUUUGAUGCUCCCUAAUACUUUGUGGCAACUGACUCUACUUUAUAUCCCACAACCCUGAUGCCAUAGGCAACCAGGUCAGGGGUGAAGCUUACUCCCACUUUGGACCAUUCAAUGAAACCAGAGACCACAACUGCCAAGGGAAGUAUAUUGAUAUCACUCAUCCAUGAUACCACUGGUAACCAUGUUGAGAUCCAUAGUCAAUGUUUGUAGGUGGAAUGGCUUAGCAACAAAUGUUGCCUUUGACGAGCUCCUUGGCUGCUGAGAUCCCUUGGCCACUAGAGUCUAUUGUAAAGAUCAUUGUCAUUAUGGCUGCCUAAGUUUAUAAACAGGAAAGAGCCGUAUACUAUUACUGUCAUCACCUUUGAUGUCAGUGAUCAUAUCUUCAUUUUGAAGUUCUGCUGAUAUCAUUGUAUGCUCUAAUCAGCCAGCGUGAUAGAGGCCAUUGUUCCUAUUACAUAUGGAAAACCUAAUGAUGACUAGAAUCUGUGUUGCUUCUGGAGAAACUUCUGAAUUCCAAGGACCUUGGGACCAAUAUCAUCCAAGGUCAUAUUGAGGGUAAGUGUUGUUAGCUGACAAAACUAAUCUCUGAGAUCCUACCCACCACAGGGAAUUCUACUGAUGUUCCUGAUGCAUGCAUGUAGCUCCUGAUGUGAAAAAACAUUGUAUUUUGAUGCUUAUGAUCCUACCUGUAACAAGAAGUUGUGCUGAUACCAGUGCUGCAUGUGGUGACUAGAAAUCAUGAUGGUGUCCAUUAUUCCUAAUGCUGAUGGUGAUGGCUCUUAUUUGUGUUGCUGCUUGAGAAUCCAAUGAAUCCCAAGGUCCAUACUGAUGCCCAUGAUCAUUUUGAUGUAAAUAUUUUUAGCUGGUACUGGAGAUCCGAUUGUUAUCUAGAAGCCUACCCGAAACAGGAAAAUUGGUUGAUGUUCCUUAUACAUGUGUGUAGCCCCCCAUUUUAAACAUGUAAUAAAUAUUGAUGCCUGUGAUCCUGCCUGAAACAUGAAGCUGUUUUGAUGUCAGCACUGUUUGAUGACCAGCAAUCAUGAUGGAAUCUAUUAUUUCCAUUGCUAAUGGACACACUGGUGAUGGCUAUGAUCUAUGCUUUUGCUUGAGAACCCGAUGAAUCCAAAGGUCUGUAAUGAUGUGGUAGGUGAUAUUGAGGUAAGUGUUCUGAGCUAGCAAUGGAGAUCAUAUUGAUAUAUGAGAUCCUAUCUGCCACAGGAAAUUCUGUUGAGAUCACUGAUACAUGAAUGCAGCCCCUGAUUUUUGACCUUGUUACGUGCAAGAUCCUUACUGCUACCUGAAGUGAUAGUGAUAACAGUGAUCUAUCCUGCCACUAGGGAAGAGAUGUAUGAUUUGCCCUAUGAAUUGAUGAUGAUGUCACUGAUAUAUACCUGGCAACAUACACCAUGGUAUUGUCCAAGGUCCAUGCUGCCAUUGACAACCUGGUUGUCAGUAAUCCCUGCUGCACCUGCUUACCAUGUUAAUAUCACCAUUACCAAAUGCUUGUAGAAACUAUGAUGGUUUCAGUAGCCAUGUUUAAAAUCAUAGUCCAUGAUGCCUCUUAGGAUAUUUUUAAUGCAAAUGAUCCCUGGGGCUAGCAGAAUCUAAGGUAAUGUUUUAGGUCAAUACUGAUGUCUGAGAUCAUGUUGAGUCAUAUGUUCUGAGAUAUAUUAUGGUGAAGUCACAUAUAGUGUGGCAACAGACACGGUUGUCUGUUAUAUAUAUUUCAGUCUUCCAGCAGUCAUGUCCGUGAUCCCUGCUGCCUCUUGGGAACACAUUAAUAUCACUGUUUCUAACUGGCAAUGGCAUCGUCACUGAUGCCAAUUUUCUAAGAUUCUGCCCAAUUCAUGAGAAGGGUUCUUCUAGCUGUAACCAUUUUUAUGUCAUGUUGCAUUCUGUCACUAGACAAGAGGUUUCUGUACAUGGUCAUACCUGCCCUAUGAAACUGUCUUGAUAUCCCUGGCAACAGAUAUACCAUAGUAUAUUUCAGAUUCCUAUGCCCACAGUCAACCAGGCAGUGAAUAAUUGCUACUACCACUUUGGAACAAAUUGAUGACAUUCGUGAUCCCAACUGCCAAGGGAAAAAUAUUGAUGUCGUUCAUCUAUGCUGUCAUUUGUAUCCACAUUGUGAACCAUAAGUAGCAUGUUUGAAGAGGCCUUGAUGUCUGUGAUAACUCAACCAGAAUAAUCUGUUGUGAAUUUCAGUGUUAGUUCUGGUGCUAAAGGUCAUAAUGAGGCAAGUCCUGUGUGUUCCUACUGGAGACAUGUGAUGCUAGUGAUGCUAGUGAUGUUGAUGCUAGUGAUCAUGUGUGAAACCUGAAGCUGUGUUGAUGUCAGUGCUGCAUGCUAUAACCAGAAAUCAUGAUGGAGUCUAUUAUUGUGAUGGCUAUGAUCUGUGCUGCUUCUGGAGAACAUGCUAAAUUCUGAGGUCCAUACUGACACAUGAGGUCAUAGUGAGGCCUCUAGUUAAAUCAACCAGAAGGAUCUAUUGUGAAUUCCACGGUAAUUCAAUCCCUGUCUAAAGUCAAAGUGAGGUAAGUGUUGUGUGCUGCUACUGGAGACAUGUUUGAUGUCUGUGAUCCUAACGGCAACCUGAAGCUAUGUUGAUGGCAAUGCUGAAUCAUGAUGGACUCCAGGAUUCCUAUUGCUGAUAGAGACCAUGGUUAUGGCUAGGAUCUCUGCUGCUAUUUAAGGACAUGUUAAUUCUAAGGUCUAUACUGACAGUUGAGGUGAUAUUGAGGUAUGUGUUCUGAGUUGGCACUAGAGAUCACAUUAAUAUCUGAGAUCCUGCCUGCUACAGGAAAUUCUGUUGAUGUCCCUGAUGCAUGCAUGAAUCCCCUGAUGUAAACCAUGAGUUCACUGAUAUAUACAUCAUUGGAAGAGACAGCACUGUAUGUCUAUAUUCUUUAAUGCCACAAGCAGCCAUAUUGUCAGUGAUUCUUUCCCCACUUGGGACCACAUUAAUAUGAAUGAUUCCAAUUGUCAUUGGAAUCUAUACUGAUGUGAGUGAUGCAUGCUUCUGUCACCUGUGAGAAUGUUCUUUAUGAGAAGUAUACUCGUAGCUAUAAUAAUUUUGAAGUCAAUGAUUCAUUCUGACACUAUAGAUAUUAUUACUUCUCAUGGUCCUCCCUGCCCUAUGAAACUACCAUGAUGUUCCUGAUACUUCCUGGCAAUUGACAUCAUAGUAUAUCCAAGAUUCCCUAAUGCUACAGGCAACCAGGAUUUUAAUGAUCCCUAUUGAUACUUUGGACUAAAUGUGAUAUCAAUUGUCCUAUUUGCUAAGAGAAAUAUAUUGAUUUUACUCACCUGUUUUACUGUUUAUAACCACAUUGAGAUCCAUAGUCAGUGCUGUUUCUAAAGACCUUCUUGAUGUCUAUGAUCAAUGUGGCCAGCGUGUCAAUUGUGAAGUUCAUGGUCACAACUGCUUCCAAAGAUCAUAAUGAGGAAGACCUUAUUGAUGACAAGGAUCUGUGCUGCUGCAUGAGAACAGGCUGAAUUCCAAGUUCUAUACUGAUGUGCAGGGUCAUAUUGAGACCUCAUUAUGAGUAAUAUCCUUUCUGCCACAAGAAGAAAUUUGAUAUAAUUGAUUCAUCCUGCUACUGGAGAAGAGACUUAUGUUCAUAAUUUCUUCUACCCUCUGAAUCAACACUGAUGUCAGUGAUACAAUUGUCAACAGAUAUCAUACUAUAUCUAUAGUCCCUGCUGCAAUAGCAAGCAUCAUAUUAAAUAUUUGUGCUGCCAUUUUGGACCAGGAUGAUAUCAGUUACCACAACUGCCAACAGAAAUAUAGUGAUGUCACUCAUCCAUGCUUCUACCUGUAAAUAUAUUACUAUCCAUAGAUGUUGCUGCCUCUGAAGAGCUUUGUGAUGUCUGUUAUCCAUGGUGCUAGAAGAGUCUGUCUUGAAGUUCAUGGUCGAUAAUACUGCCUAAGUCAUGUUGAUGUAUGUGUACUAUGCUGCCACCAGAGACGUGUUUUAUGACUGUGACCUGACUUGCCUCCUGAAGCAGUGUUGAUGUCAUGGCUGCAUACUGACAUCACUAAUUGUGAUGGUGUUUAUUGUUCCAGUGGCAGGUAGGACCUGCCCUAUGAAACUAACAUGUACCAAGGGAUAAAUGCAUGCAUUAAGGACAUGUACCAGUACAACAAAACACAGGAGUGUAUGAAAUGCCUUUUAUGCAUGCAUGAAGCCCCUGCUGACUAAUCAUAACUCUUUUGACUAUAUUAUGCAUAAGAUCCUCACUGAAAUCAGAAGAAUUGUUCAAGAUGUCAUUGAUCCAUCCUGACAAUGGAGAAGAUGUUUAUGUUAAUAUUCUCUCUUGCCCUCUGAAUCUAUACCAAUGUCCAUGAUAUGCUCAGAAACAGAUACAAUGGUAUUGCCCAAGAUAAAUGCUGCCACAGGUAACCUUGAUUUUAGUGAUCCCUGUUGCAAAUGAGUACAAUGUUAAUAUCACUAAUUCAAAGUGCCACCAGAAACUAUGCUGAUGUCCAUCAUCAAUGAUAACACCGGCAUCAAGGUUGAAUGCCAUAGUCCAUGUUGGUUCUGAAGAGACUGAUAAUGUAAAGGAAACCUGUUGCUACCAAAGUCUAUGGUGAAGUUCAUAGUCAAUAUUGCUAACUAAGGUUUUGUUGAGUUAACCUUUCUGUGAUAUGUUGAGGUCAGUGAUACAUUAAGGCAACAAACACCAUUGUAUGCCCAUGAAUUUUGAUGCAAUGAGCAGCUAUAAUGUCAGUGAUCACUGGUGACACAUGUGACCACAUUAAUCUGAGUGAUUCCAGCUGCCACCAGAACCUAUACUGAUGUCUGUGAUCCAUUUUUCUGCCAUCUGAGACUAUGUUAUAUAAUAAAUAUAUGCUGCCAGCUGUACCACAUUUUAUGUCAAGGAUCCAUCCUGCCAAUAGAAAUGAAGUUUCUGUUCAUAGUCUGAUCUGUCCUCUGAAACUGCAUCAAUGUUACUGAUACCUUCUAGAAGCAAACACUAUGGUGUAUCCUAGAUCACUGAGGCCUCUGGCCCACCAGCAACCAUGAUGAUGUCCAUUAUUCCUAUUGAGGUCCUACCUGCCACAGGAAACUAUGGUGAUGUCCCUGACGUAUGAUUGUAGUUGCUUUGUAGAGCAUGCCAUGUAUAAGAUCCUAACUGUCACCAGAAUAGUUAUUGAUAUAAAUUCUGCAACCUUAUAGAUACUUUCCAGCUGUAACUAUUUUGAUGUUGAGGAUCUAUGCUGGAACUAGAGAAGAGGUUUCAGUAUAUGAUCUGAACUUCCAGUGAAACUAUGAUGUCAAUGACAACUCCACAGUAACAAAAAUUACAGUAUAUCCCGGAUCCAUUCUGUCACAAGUUACAAGAUGUUAGUGAUCCCAGGUCCCGCUAUGGAUUGGGAUGAUUAUAUUAGCGAUCCCACUUUUCCAGUGGAAGCAAUGUUCAUGUCAGUGCUACCUGUUGUCAUCAGCAAACAAUAUGAUGUCCUUCAUUGCUAUUGAGAUUCUACCUGCUACAAGAAACUAUGGUGAGGUCCCUGAUGCGUGCAUUUAUCCCUUGCUACAGACUAUCAUGUAUACUACCACCAGAAGUGAUGUUUGUGUUAGUGAUCCAUCCUGUGACAUUAGAAGAGAUUUAUGCCAAUAGACUCUUUCCCUCUGAGUAUAUACUGACGUCACUGACAUACCUAGCAACAUAUAUGGUAGGAUAGCACAAGAUCCAUGCUGCUACAGGCAACCUCAUCAAUGUUCCCUGUUGCCACUGGAAAUUAUACAAUCAUCACCAAUCUAACCUGCCCUCAGAAAUUAUGUUGAUGUCCAUCAUCCAUGAUGCCAACAGUACCCAUGUUACACAUAGUCCAUGUUGCUUCUGAAGAGAAUGUUAAUAUUAAGGAGUUCUCCAGCCACCAGUGUCUAUUCUGAAGUUUAUAGUCAAUAUUGUUGCCUGAGGUCAUGUUGUGAAGUGUUCUGA
rnacentral:sRNA from 1 species